rnacentral:rRNA from 1 species
CUUUACUGCAACUUGACGUUGGAACUUGGCUGUAUUUGUGUAGGAUAGGUGGGAGACUUUGAAGUAGUGCCGCCAGGUAUUACUGAGUCGUCGUUGAAAUACCACCCUGGUGCUGACGAGUUUCUAACCGCACCCGUAAGCCGGGUGUGAGACAUCGUCUGGUGGGCAGUUUGACUGGGGCGGUCGCCUCCUAAAAGGUAACGGAGGCAUUCAAAGGUUCCCUCAGCGUGGUCGGUAAUCACGCGAAGAGUGCAAACGCAUAAGGGAGCUUAACUGCGAGACCGACAGGUCGAGCAGGUACGAAAGUAGGAGUUAGUGAUCCCGCGGUUUAGCGUGGAAUUGCCGUUGCUCAAUGGAUAAAAGGUA